rnacentral:rRNA from 1 species
ACGCACGCUGGCGGCGUGCUUAACACCUGCAAGUCGAACGGAAAGGCCCUGCUUUUGUGGGGUGCUCGAGUGGCGAACGGGUGAGUAACACGUGAGUAACCUGCCCUUGACUUUGGGAUAACUUCAGGAAACUGGGGUAAUUCCCGCAAAGGAGCUCUGCCGGCAGGGUGGGGUUGGGAAGGUUUGGCGGGUGGGGGUGGGCUCGCGGCUUAUCAGCUUGUUGGUGGGGUAGUGGCCUACCAAGGGUUUGACGGGUAGCCGGCCUGGGGGGGUGACCGGCCACAUUGGGACUGAGAUACGGCCCAGACUCCUACGGGAGGCAGCAGUGGGGAAUAUUGCACAAUGGGCGGAAGCCUGAUGCAGCAACGCCGCGUGCGGGAUGACGGCCUUCGGGUUGUAAACCGCUUUCGCCUGUGACGAAGCGUGAGUGACGGUAAUGGGUAAAGAAGCACCGGCUAACUACGUG